AAUGGAAGUAAAUUACGGACUAUUUGAAAGAAUGCAAUAUAUGUCUCUUCUGUGGCACUGGUUAAGAGUGCAUACACCAUCGGGAAAGACUAAAAAGACACCACUUACAACAUUUUUGUACACAACAUGGAACGUCAUUAAGGAUCCUCUUCUCAAUUGUUUGGGUGUACUUGGAACCGUUUUAAAGGUGCCAUCACAUCCUGCAGACUUGACUAAUUGAAAUUCCUCGCUGAAUCUUUGAAUGAAAUGUAUAUUGGCAAAAAUGGCUCCUACAUACACUCCUUCCAAAAUUAAUGCCUGUUGGAAGAAUGCUGAUGGUGGUUCCUGUAUUGUUGUGGAGUAUUCACUGUGCUCUUGCAUAUUCAAUAAGUUGACCAAUUCUUGAAUUGUUUCAGUAAUUUUCGGUCUUCGGCGGUUCCGCAUUCUUUUGCAUCUAAGCUGCGCUUGUUGGAACGUAUAUCCCCAGCUUCCAUGGGGAUGACUAAAAAGUAUUAAUGUAUAAGAUAUGCCUGAUUGGCAAAGACAUAGCGCCUAUUGUUGUUGAUCGAAUAUAUUUUGUCAUUGGAUAUUGAAUAUGAUAACCAAAUUCUAUUUGCAACUGAACCAUCACCAAACUUUCUUAAAUACCACGAUGGAUGAAAUUUUCGACCAAACUUAUUAGAAGGAAAUUCUUUAUUUGG